rnacentral:rRNA from 1 species
UACGGAGGGUGCAAGCAUUAAUCGGAUUUAUUGGGCGUAAAGGGCGCGUAGGCGGGUAUAAUAGUCAGAUGUGAGAUCCUGGGGCUCAACCUCAGAACUGCAUUUGAAACUGUAUCCCUAGAGGGUAGGAGGAGAAAACGGAAUUCCACAAGUAGCGGUGAAAUGCGUAGAUAUGUGGAAGAACACCGGUGGCGAAGGCGGUUUUCUAUCUUAUUCCUGACGCUAAUGCGCGAAAGCAAGGGGAUCAAACAGG